rnacentral:tRNA from 1 species
AGAAAUUUAGGUUAAUAUUAAACCAAGGGCCUUCAAAGCCCUAAACAGAAGUGAAACCCCUCUAAUUUCUG